GGGCGGGCUUGGCGGCGAAAGGCGCUUCCUCAGCCCGCGCGGGAGACCCAGAAGUAGUACUGAGGUAGCGCUCGUCCUCCCGCCGGUCCACCACCACCGAGUGUAGCCCGGGCCCGGCCUAUUUCAUCAGACACAACCCCAGAGCCGGGAGCCACCCCUACCCCGGGAGCCCUUCGCCAAGCACGCAGCUCCAGACCAGAAGCAGUCGCUCCGACCCAGAGCUCCGGGUGGGGCAGAAGAAUCUUUUCUUGCUGCUCUCCUAGGAUCUACCAACCAGAGAUUCUAAUGUGAUACGUUUGGAAUGGAGUUAUCGAUCUGCAUUUUUAAUAGGCAUUCCUCCAGGCUUGGGUCCCAGCUCCAAAAUGUCUCAUUAUCUGUAUUUGAAUAUCCCCAAAUUUGAAAAAUUCAAAAUCUGAAACACUUCUGAUCCCAAGCAUUUCAGACUCCUAAGAGUUAAUACGAAGUAGAAAGAGAAGUUGGAGUUAAGCAGCUCGUUCCAGUUCUGAUUUUGCCAUUUCCUGUCUGAGUGACCUGACUUCCCUCUCUGCCUCCAGCCAUGACUGUAAGUUUCCUGAGGCCCUCACCAGAAGCCGAGCAGAUGUUGGUGCCAUGCUUAUACAGCCUGAAGAACUGUGAGCU
rnacentral:lncRNA from 10 species